GCGGGCAUCCAUCGUUUACUGUGCGGACUACCAGGGUAUCUAAUCCUGUUUGAUACCCGCACCUUCGAGCUUAAGCGUCAGUUGCGCUCCCGUCAGCUGCCUUCGCAAUCGGAGUUCUUCGUCAUAUCUAAGCAUUUCACCGCUACACGACGAAUUCCGCCAACGUUGUGCGUACUCAAGGAAACCAGUAUGCGCUGCAAUUCAGACGUUGAGCGUCUACAUUUCACAACACACUUAAUCUCCAGCCUACGCUCCCUUUAAACCCAAUAAAUCCGGAUAACGCCUGGACCUUCCGUAUUACCGCGGCUGCUGGCACGGAAUUAGCCGGUCCUUAUUCGUAUGGUACCUGCAAAUAGGGACACGUCCCUAACUUUAUCCCCAUACAAAAGCAGUUUACAACCCAUAGGGCCGUCAUCCUGCACGCUACUUGGCUGGUUCAGACUUCCGUCCAUUGACCAAUAUUCCUCACUGCUGCCUCCCGUAGGAGUUUGGACCGUGUCUCAGUUCCAAUGUGGGGGACCUUCCUCUCAGAACCCCUACUGAUCGUUGCCUUGGUGGGCCGUUACCCCGCCAACAAGCUAAUCAGACGCAUCCCCAUCCAUUACCGAUAAAUCUUUACUUCAAAUCUGAUGCCGUCAUCGAAGACUAUGCGGUAUUAGUCUGCCUUUCGGCAGGUUAUCCCACAGUAAUGGGAAGGUUGGAUACGCGUUACUCACCCGUGCGCCGGUCGACGUCCAAAGAGUGCAAGCACUCAAUGCCGUUUCCCCUCGACUUGCAUGUGUUAAGCCUGUAGCUAGCGUUCAUCCUGAGCCAGGAUCAAACCCUC
rnacentral:rRNA from 1 species